CAGGGGACUCCAGCUGGGACAGAUGCUCCUUCAGCCAGGCCAGCUCUUGUUCCAACACCUCCACCUUAGGGACAUCUGCAGAAAGGCUGGACAGUGGCAAAAAAAGGGCAGCAAGAGCACGUAGAGGAGGAUGAGAAUGAGAGUGGUCCUCUCUCACCUUCUCACGGGACAGACCAAUCGCUCCCUCACCCAGCCCAGAGGCCAGAACACGAGGAAGAGUAUUCAGUGACUGAGGCGCCCCUCUGUCCCAGCUGGGGAAGGAAGAGAGGACAGACUCUCUUCCAGGCUUUGAGAAAGUCAAAGCUAAAGAAGAUCUGAGGUUAGCCGGGCGCAGUGGCUCACACCUGUAAUCCCAGGCUGAGGUGGGCAGAUCAUGAGGUCAGGAGUUCGAGACCAGCCUGGCCAACAUAGUGAAACACCAUCUCUAAUAAACAUAUUAAAAAAAUUA